UGGGGAAUUUUCUGCAAUGGGCGAAAGCCUGACAGAGCAAUACCGCGUGAGGGAUGAAGGCCUGUGGGUCGUAAACCUCUUUUUUCAAGGAGGAAGUUCUGACGUGUACUUGAAGAAUAAGCAUCGGCUAACUCCGUGCCAGCAGCCGCGGUAAGACGGAGGAUGCAAGUGUUAUCCGGAAUUACUGGGCGUAAAGCGUCUGUAGGUGGUUUAGUAAGUCGAUUGUUAAAGCUUGGGGCUUAACUCCAAAACAGCAAUGGAAACUGCUAGACUUGAGUAUGGUAGAGGUAAAAGGAAUUUCCAGUGGAGCGGUGAAAUGCGUAGAUAUUGGAAAGAACACCGAUGGCGAAGGCAUUUUACUGGGCCAUAACUGACACUCAGAGACGAAAGCUAGGGUAGCAAAUGGGAUUAGAUACCCCAGUAGUCCUAGCUGUAAACGAUGGAUACUAGAUGUUGCACGUAUCGACCCGUGCAGUGUCAUAGCUAACGCGUAAGUAUCCCGCCUGGGAAGUAUGCACGCCAGUGUG
rnacentral:rRNA from 1 species